rnacentral:rRNA from 1 species
CACGUAGGGGGCAAGCGUUGUCCGGAUUUAUUGGGCGUAAAGAGCUCGUAGGCGGUCUGUCGCGUCGGUCGUGAAAACUUGGGGCUUAACCCUGAGCUUGCGGUCGAUACGGGCAUGACUGGAGUUCGGUAGGGGAGACUGGAAUUCCUGGUGUAGCGGUGAAAUGCGCAGAUAUCAGGAGGAACACCAAUGGCGAAGGCAGCUCGCUGGGACGGUACUGACGCUGAGGCGCGAAAGCGUGGGGAGCAAACAGG